GUUCUGAAAAUUGGAUCGGAUCAGUCGGUCAAACCGGUUUGACUGUGAUUUUAGUGGUUCGAUUCAUCAUGUGAAACAAUUAAUUAAAAAAUCAGAAGUAAACUGCUUAAUAAGACAGGAACCGGUCGGUCAGACUCGACAGAAAAUCGGCCGGUUUUGAUGAAAUGACGCUGUUUCGAACUUUCGAUUGAAAAAAUUGAUUCUGAAAGCAGAAGCCCCCCAUCUCCUUCUCCAAAGUCCAAUCUCCUUCCUUCAACUGCCCUCUGCCCCUCACCCAACCUCAACCAAAGAAAAACCCUAGCCUCUCUUCGUUUGUCCGUCCAUCGAGCCACUGCCGCCGUCCGUCGCACACAAGGGCUUUGCUAUUCGUCCUAUCGGCGUUCUCCAAGUCUCCAACCCUUGUUCUCUUCUUCCGCGAGCUCGGCAUCUGUCGUCUGGUCAGCGUCGUCCAUCGCAGCCAAUGGUCUCUGACAUACUCUGCCCAAACUUUGAAGGGACAAUUCACGGUGAGUUUUAGCCUGGGCCUCGCUGAAUCAGGCUCCGUAUGCGCCUCGUACGGAUUCAAGUGGUGUCACAAGUUAUUGGUGACGCGUGUUACAAUUUUUUUGAAACUUGCCAAAUAGUACAUAUCCUAUCAACCAGCUAAUUGUUGAAGACGUUUUUAGUAAAAUAGUGAUUCAUUCCUCACAUUUGGAUUCGUACGUAAUUACUGAAAAUGUAGAUAUGUGAAGUUAAAUAUGAAAAUAAUUUUUUGUGGAUAGACUUUUUUAAGCAACCUAAUUUGGGCUUGGGCUUAUUCUCAUUUGUAGGCUAGUAAUUGUUAGCCCAUUAGUAGUUGAAUAAUAAUUUUUAUUCACAUUUAUUCAACUUCUGACCCGUUAAAACUCUAACCCAUUUAGAAUUUCAAAAGGAAUGCAUUUACAAGUGAAAAAAAGGAAACCUGAAACAAACAAUAACCUCAACCCCAAACCCGACCCGGCAUUCAAACUUGCGUAUCCCUCUCCUCUUGGGCGGAGUUGUGAUCGACAACGGUUUCACCUACCGUCGCCCCUCACCAGUCUGCGAUCGUCUCCUUUUUAUCACGUUUGCAACACCUGCUCGUCCUCAUCCUCCUCGGCGGCACUGAACCAGUAACCAGUCUUCUCGUCAUCAAAACUCUUCACACGUGUGGAACCAUCUUCGAAGUUCCUAGUCCCUGAAUCUAUUGAAUAUUCAGGUGGUGCCUCCGAUGAAGAUUCAAACUUUUGAGAGAGGAGCAGGCGCCGCACUCCGAUGAAGACGCAGAUAACCGAUUUCAGCGACGGCGACGCAACCCCAUGACAACGACAUCCAGUGAAGACAGAAGACUUGCUGGGGGAUGACAGUGGCUCUUCCGGAGAAAGAAAUCAGCCUGGCAGCACCGAAUCAAGAGGCCAUUGAUAAAUGAUGAGUGGCCUUUACUUCUUUUCUUUUUUUAUUAUUAUUUUUUCUUUGGCCCUGCCUUCUUUUUUUUUAAUCUUGAAGUAUUUGGGCAAGAUUCGGCUUGCGAAUUCGGGAACGUUCCAGAUGAUGAAGCUAUUGCUGUUAUCGCUCCACGAAACAACCGAAUUAGUGGGCGAGUCAUC